GAUGAACGCUGGCGGCGUGCCUAAUACAUGCAAGUCGAGCGAAUGGAUUAAGAGCUUGCUCUUAUGAAGUUAGCGGCGGACGGGUGAGUGACACGUGGGUAACCUGCCCAUAAGACUGGGAUAACUCUGGGAAGCCGGGGCUAAUACCGGAUAACAUUUUGAACCGCAUGGUUCGAAAUUGAAAGGCGGCUUCGGCUGUCACUUAUGGAUGGACCCGCGUCGCAUUAGCUAGUUGGUGAGGUAACGGCUCACCAAGGCAACGAUGCGUAGCCGACAUGGGAGGGUGAUCGGCCACAAGGGGACUGAGACACGGCCCAGACUCCUACGGGAGGCAGCAGUAGGGAAACUUCCGCAAUGGACGAAAGUCUGACGGAGCAACGCCGCGUGAGUGAUGAGGGCUUUCGGGUCGUAAAACUCUGUUGUUAGGGAAGAACAAGUGCUAGUUGAAUAAGCUGGCACCUUGACGGUACCUAACCAGAAAGCCACGGCUAACUACGUGCCAGCCGCCGCAGUAA
rnacentral:rRNA from 1 species